rnacentral:rRNA from 1 species
GACGUAGGGCGCGAGCGUUGUCCGGAUUUAUUGGGCGUAAAGAGCUCGUAGGCGGCUCGUUGCGUCGGCUGUGAAAACCCGCAGCUCAACUGUGGGCUUGCAGCCGAUACGGGCGGGCUGGGAUUCGGUAGGGGAGACUGGAAUUCCUGGUGUAGCGGUGAAAUGCGCAGAUAUCAGGAGGAACACCGGUGGCGAAAGGCGGGGUCUCUGGCCCCGGUACUGACGCUGAGGGUGCGAAAAGCGUGGGGGGAGCAAAACAGG